AGCGAACGCUGGCGGCAGGCCUAACACAUGCAAGUCGAACGGAUCCUUCGGGAUUAGUGGCGGACGGGUGAGUAACACGUGGGAACGUGCCUUUUGGUUCGGAACAACUCAGGGAAACUUGAGCUAAUACCGAAUGUGCCCUUCGGGGAAAGAUUUAUCGCCAUUAGAGCGGCCCGCGUCUGAUUAGCUAGUUGGUGAGGUAAAGGCUCACCAAGGCUACGAUCAGUAGCUGGUCUGAGAGGAUGAUCAGCCACAUUGGGACUGAGACACGGCCCAAACUCCUACGGGAGGCAGCAGUGGGGAAUCUUGCGCAAUGGGCGAAAGCCUGACGCAGCCAUGCCGCGUGAAUGAUGAAGGUCUUAGGAUUGUAAAAUUCUUUCACCGGGGACGAUAAUGACGGUACCCGGAGAAGAAGCCCCGGCUAACUUCGUGCCAGCAGCCGCGGU
rnacentral:rRNA from 1 species